ACUCAACACUAACAAAUUAAAAUGAGCGAAUCUUCGUACUAUUGUAAGCCCUUAAGUGGGAAACAUGAAAAACGAGCUAGCUCAAAACUUGUCUUUACGAGUUU
rnacentral:sRNA from 1 species